rnacentral:lncRNA from 1 species
ACUAGGCCAAAAGAUUCGUCUCAUAAAUUUCGACCAAACUGUACAAUUACUUUUUAUUUUCAUCUAUAUUUAAUACUCAAUGCAUGUGUCUAAAAAUUCGAUGUGACGGAAAAUCUUGAAAAUUUUUGGGUUUUGGGGUGGAAGUAAACAAGGCCUUACAACAAAACUACAACAAUUCAUCACACAGUACGUAUGCAAUGGUUUUUUUUUGAGUAAACAGGAGGGGCAAGGCCCCUACUGAAAAUGAAUUAAACCCAGAAAGAGUUCGAGUACAAAAACAGAGAAGGAUUAGAGAAAGAGGACAAGGCUAGCCUAGGAAACAAAAAAAGAAACAAAGAAAAGACUCCAC